UACGGGGGGAGCAAGCGUUGUUCGGAUUUACUGGGCGUAAAGGGCGCGUAGGCGGCCACCGCAAGUCAGUUGUGAAAUCUCUGGGCUUAACCCAGAACGGUCAGCUGAUACUGCGGGGCUAGAGUGCAGAAGGGGCAACUGGAAUUCUCGGUGUAGCGGUGAAAUGCGUAGAUAUCGAGAGGAACAUCAGUGGCGAAGGCGGCUGUCUGGCCCAAUACUGACACUCAGGUGCGACAGCGUGGGGAGCAAACAGG
rnacentral:rRNA from 1 species